UUGAUCUCAAAUCAGGUAGGACUACCCGCUGAACUUAA
rnacentral:rRNA from 3 species